rfam:Stegodyphus mimosarum contig41660, whole genome shotgun sequence.
GCGUUUGUGGUGUAGUGGUCAGCACGCUCGACGAGUAACCGAGAGGUCCCUGGUUCGAUUCCCGGCGAAAGCG